rnacentral:rRNA from 1 species
UACGUAGGGGGCUAGCGUUGUCCGGAAUCAUUGGGCGUAAAGCGCGCGUAGGCGGAUCGGCAAGUUGGGGGUGAAAUCCCGGGGCUCAACCCCGGAAUGGCCUUCAAAACUCCCGGUCUUGAGUUCGAGAGAGGUGAGUGGAAUUCCGAGUGUAGAGGUGAAAUUCGUAGAUAUUCGGAGGAACACCAGUGGCGAAGGCGGCUCACUGGCGCGAUACUGACGCUGAGGUGCGAAAGCGUGGGGAGCAAACAGG